ACCCCCAUAGCUCAACGGAAAGAGCGCGGCGCUACGAACGCCGAAGUCCAGGUUCGAUUCCUGGUGGGGGUA
rnacentral:tRNA from 1 species